AUUGAACUCUAAACUUUUAUAAACUCAUGUAGUGCACCAAAUUUAUUUAAUUCGUGAGUUAUAACCUAACCGUUAUGUUGUUAUACUGUAUCUUCCAUGUAUUGUAUCUCUAUACAUUAUAUCGUCACGGAAAAAUUUGGAAUUUCUAAAUUUGAAAAUUUGAGAGUUUAAACUUAAAGUCGUUAGUGUUUUGUUUGGCAAAAAACGCGGUAUUGCAUAGUUCGAUACUAUGUAGUUGACUGAAAGGAACAAAAAAAGUACCUGACAGAAGAAAAAUUCAAAUUUGGCGGGUAAAUCGAUCGAGUGCUCAAAAAUCAAAAAUUAUGUCGUUUGUACGCAUAAUCAAUACACAUGAAGAUCGAGUGCUGCAGCGAGUUGUACCUCAAAAAUUUAGGAGCUUUACGCUUCAAACAGAGCGGAGAAAACCAGAGCAACGUGACGCGUCAAUCUCAUUCUUCAAUAUCGACCUCGACCGUCGAAAUCAAGUCGUUCCAUUUUCAAAAGGAAAGGCGCGCGAUGAAAUAGGAACAUUACCAGUAGUAUGGACAGUUGGAGAAAUCUGGAGGCAUCAGACAUUUGGAAAUUCAGAAAAUUUAAAGCAAAGGAAAUUUGAAAAUUUCAUAAAGCUCGAAUCUGACGGUCUGUUUUUACACAAAAUGGCACCCCUAAUUCCGUCUUAAAAAAUCGUUAAGUAUCGUUGAAUAAUUACUGUAAUUCAUCCACUUUCAUAAACCAGACCGUUCCUUUGCCCCCUUUAAUUGUAAUUAUUUCACAAAAUGAAACAUGUCUUUUUUUUAGGAACGUAUAUGAAGAUAGAAUAUUCAAUAGAAAUUCAACGUUUGAUCUGGUUGACUCGUGUUUUUUCCGCCCAGUGAUGGUUGCGAUUAUAUCACCGCCGUGGAUAUUUCCGGAAAUAGUAUUAAAUUUAUACAUCUGAGAGAUUCUAGAUAGGCGGUCAACGUCGCUCACGCAAUUAAAUCUGUAACGUUAGACUCUAACUGUUAGAGGAAUCGAGAUAACAAAAGGAUCGAGGCCUCCAUGAUACGAGUCGAAGAUAACCCAAAGGCUCGGAG
rnacentral:misc_RNA from 1 species